rnacentral:rRNA from 1 species
AGCUUGCUCUAGGGAAUUAGUGGCGAACGGGUGAGUAACACGUGAGUAACCUGCCCUUGACUCUGGGAUAACCUCCGGAAACGGAAGCUAAUACCGGAUACGACGCACGGAGGCAUCUCCUGUGCGUGGAAAGAACUUCGGUCAAGGAUGGACUCGCGGCCUAUCAGGUAGUUGGUGAGGUAACGGCUCACCAAGCCUACGACGGGUAGCCGGCCUGAGAGGGUGACCGGCCACACUGGGACUGAGACACGGCCCAGACUCCUACGGGAGGCAGCAGUGGGGAAUAUUGCACAAUGGGCGCAAGCCUGAUGCAGCAACGCCGCGUGAGGGAUGACGGCCUUCGGGUUGUAAACCUCUUUUAGUAGGGAAGAAGCGAAAGUGACGGUACCUGCAGAAAAAGCACCGGCUAACUACGUGCCAGCAGCCGCGGUAAUACGUAGGGUGCGAGCGUUGUCCGGAAUUAUUGGGCGUAAAGAGCUCGUAGGCGGUCUGUCGCGUCUGCUGUGAAAUCCCGAGGCUCAACCUCGGGCCUGCAGUGGGUACGGGCAGACUAGAGUGCGGUAGGGGAGAAUGGAAUUCCUGGUGUAGCGGUGGAAUGCGCAGAUAUCAGGAGGAACACCGAUGGCGAAGGCAGUUCUCUGGGCCGUAACUGACGCUGAGGAGCGAAAGCGUGGGGAGCGAACAGGAUUAGAUACCCUGGUAGUCCACGCCGUAAACGUUGG